AGAGUUUGAUCCUGGCUCAGACGAACGCUGGCGGCAUGCCUAACACAUGCAAGUCGAACGAGACCUUCGGGUCUAGUGGCGCACGGGUGCGUAACGCGUGGGAACCUGCCUUUAGGUUCGGAAUAACUCAGAGAAAUUUGAGCUAAUACCGGAUAAUGUCUUCGGACCAAAGAUUUAUCGCCUUUAGAUGGGCCCGCGUUGGAUUAGCUAGUUGGUGGGGUAAAGGCCUACCAAGGCGACGAUCCAUAGCUGGUCUGAGAGGAUGAUCAGCCACACUGGGACUGAGACACGGCCCAGACUCCUACGGGAGGCAGCAGUGGGGAAUAUUGGACAAUGGGCGAAAGCCUAAUCCAGCAAUGCCGCGUGAGUGAUGAAGGCCUUAGGGUUGUAAAGCUCUUUUGCCAGGGAAGAUGAUGACUGUACCUGGAGAAUAAGCCCCGGCUAACUUCGUG
rnacentral:rRNA from 1 species